UCUAGAGAAAAAGAUAGAGGAGAGAAUUGUGAGGUCGCUGGAAACCCAAACCCUAGAAGAGAGGACGAAGGAGGAGGUCCUUUUCCUAUAUAAGCGCCCCGGCGGCUGAUGAGUACAGCAUUUCUAGGGCUGUGAUUACAAAGAGAGAGGCUUGAGUGGGUCUGAUUGGAACUGGGAAUGGGGAUGACCGACCACGGAGCCUGAAGGUGCCGCCGACACUCUUCGCCGGAAGGGUUCGGCUUCGGUAUCUCGGCGACUCGGCCUCAUGUCUACCCCCCUGUUUCAAUUGAAUUCUCCCUACCAUGACGGAUCUUUCUAAAAUUUACACUUGAUAUGAGCCCUCAUUUCUUCUGAUUUCUACCUUCCACGCUCCCCUCUGAUUUUUUUUUUUUGGGGAAAAUUUCCCUUAGGGUUUCUGGAGACUUGCACUGGUUGUUUUUCCUUAGAGAAAACACUUGAUUACGGUUUGUUUUCUCGCUGAAGCUUCAGUGCUGACAGAGAAAGCCUGAUCAGAGCACUCGCUUUAGUUGCAGAUAACAGGUUUUGUUCAGCGGAAGAAAACUGGUUGUUUCUGGGACUUAGUGGUGUGUUGUGAUCAGGCAGCGGCCAGACAACCGUAGGGAUGGUAUCCACAGACGAUGGGUUUCUUUCUUCUCACUCGUCUACUGAUCCCAUCGCACAUUUUCUUUGUGUUUGUUGAUUCUUGUUUGUUUGCUUGCUUUUCGUCAGUUUCAGCCGGCUAGUCUUUUCUUGAAUAUAAUUUGAGGGUAGAUACUCUAUAAUGAUCCCAGGACGAAGAGGAAGGGCAAAUUGCCGAAUUAUAUUUUGAGGAAAGAUAUUUUUACUCUAAUUUGGUUUAUAUUUUGAAGAGAAUUGAUUUGGAUUGGUUAAAUAUUUACCGGGUGUAGAGACUGUGUGUGUAGAGCUUGAUGAUGGAAAACAGGAAUGGAAGAAAUAUUGGAUAACUUCUGGAUGACUGCCUUCCGUGAUCUCAAGAAGCCAUGUAGCAUCUAAACCUACACUGCCUUGAAAAUAUGGACUGCAAUUCCAUUGCCAAAUCCUGAGACAAACUCGGCUUGCCUUUUGGCAAUAAAUCUGCCAGAAGUGCAGAACUCUGUGUGAAGAUCUGUGAAGUUCUAGGUUUCAUAUAGUGAUAUUUCCUAUAAUUUUAUGGAGUUUUACUUUUACUCUUUAUAAUUUUUUUUUCUGUAUUUUGAGUUUCUAUAAUUUUAACAAAAUUAGAUCA